AAUGAGUUUCUUCCCUUAUAUCUAAUCUAAACCUUCUGUCUUUCAGUUCAAAGCUGUUAACCCUUGUUCUGUCACAGCAAGCCGUGCUGAAAGGUUAAGAACGGAUUCCAAGUACUGAGGCAGCCGCUCGUCUUCAAAAUGAGUGCAAUUCCAAGGUGCAGUUAUCCACAGCACAUGUACAACCCUGUGUGCACAAAAUUAAACCAUUCUCUAAUUCCCACAUGCUGCUGAACAUACCAGUUUGAAAUCCUUCAUGUGCUGAGGCAUUUAAGAUAGCCAGUGUGGUCUGAAGUGGUAAAUGAUGAUGAUCUGCUGAGAUUACUAUUGCUGUAUCCACGGCAUAUGGAGGAGAUGGUGCUGAUCUAUGCUACUCAGUCUGUUUGCCCAGAUGGACUGAGGCCACAUUUCAAGAGUAUUCUGAAAACUAAUAAAACAGUGGCUUGAGAAAAGGAUCCUUGCAAACAAAUGAAUGGUACAGAUGUAUUGGUAAUUUUCAAGGGAAGAAACGCAAAAAUUUUACAGACAAACUUCACCAACAGGAAUACAGAAAACAGGCUAAAGAGAAAUUAUGGUAAUACAUGUGAUUUCUCAUAUAACCUCUCCUUGGAAUCAAUAAGUCACAGCCGUGGUAAUUUUAGGAAGUAAAUCACUGAAUAUAGACAAUAUAAUUGAUCCAAUGCUAAAGUAGAACAAAUGAAGAUAGCUCAGUGUGCACAAGAGCACCUUAAAACUUGGGAGACUUUCCCUCAAGUCAUAAACACACUGUAACUCUUUGCUAAA